AUGGAUAAGAGAAACAAUGCGGUGAUGACUAAUAAUUAGCAUGGCUUCCAUGCUGGGACAGUAACAGGAACUGGUAGAGACCAUGGCUGAAUGAAGACCAUACACAUUGCCUAUAGAAGGCAGCCCCUACUCAGCUUAGCCAAAUUUUCUCAUGUAGAAUUAUAGGUCUAGUGGAUCUAGAUCUUAAUAUAUUUUUGAGAAAAGCUAGAAAUGUGGAUUUUUAUAUCAAAUGUAUCCGUUUUUAAUGCUGGUGCAAUUUCUAAAAAUAAACAAAAACUGUAUGGGCCAAAUAAAAUAUAUACGCGAGCUGAAUUAGGCUAGUGGAUUACUAGUUUGAGAACUCUUAUUUAGAAAGAUCUGCCUCUGAGAAUUAGUGUUUCCUUCUUGACCAGGCAGAAUAUGGAUCUGUGUGUAUGUGCUUCUAUGUAUGUGAUUUAGCAAUUAACCAGUAAACCUGCCCCCUUCAAAAGACGCAUAUUGAUGAAAUCAUUUGUGACCUCACAGGAAUCACAAAUGAUGUUCCUAUGACGCCCUAGAUUGUUCUGUUACACAAGGGGUACCAAAGUCCACUCUGAGCUUUUCCUCUGGGAACAGAUCCCAGAUUAUUCCAGACUUAAGACAUGGAGAUAUAUCUUGCUAGAGGUAGGAAGAUGAUAAGAUCAGUUUCUAUAGGUAGAGGAUAAUGUGUCCUAAAAUGUAGGUAGAGAUAAGUCUGACAGUGGUUUAGACAAAAAGGGCCUCUGCUAAUGGUGGAGAGAUCAAGGAAGAAAAGAGCAACGUUAAAGUGAGGCUGUACCCACAGAUCAUGCUCAAGCAAAUUCGAACCUGUAAGAUGAAAGAGGACCUGCCCUCCAUUCUAUCUACUCCCUCUCUGCAAAGGCCAUUUUGAAGAUCUCAGUUUUACUGAAAGGGGUCUGCCACACAUAACUUCCCUGGUGUACCAGCAACAAGUGUUCAGUGGACCAUGGCAACACAAAGAAUGACGGAGGAGAGAAAAUGCCAUGCAGAAGUGAUAGUCAAGAUGAAGAUGUGGGAGAGGAGCAGCCCCCAGUAUAUAUUCAGUGUGUCCUCUGAAGUAACAACCAUCCCAUCUGGCUGAGAAGUGAUGGACACGGCUCCUUAACCACACUGUACCCUCUGUUCUUGGCACCUCUCUACCAG
rnacentral:lncRNA from 10 species